AUACGUAGGGGGCGAGCGUUGUCCGGAAUUACUGGGCGUAAAGGGUGCGUAGGUGGCACUUUAAGUUGGAUGUGAAAUCCCCGUGCUUCACAUGGGAGCUGCAUCCAAUACUGGAGAGCUAGAGUGCAGGAGAGGUAAGCGGAAUUCCUAGUGUAGCGGUGAAAUGCGUAGAUAUUAGGAGGAACACCAGUGGCGAAGGCGGCUUACUGGACUGUAACUGACACUGAGGCACGAAAGCGUGGGGAGCAAACAGGAUUAGAUACCCUGGUAGUCCACGCUGUAAACGAUGAAUACUAGGUGUAGGGGGUAUCAACUCCCUCUGUGCCGCAGCAAACGCAAUAAGUAUUCCGCCUGGGGAGUACGGCCGCAAGGUUGAAACUUAAAGGAAUUGACGGGG
rnacentral:rRNA from 1 species